GGCUAAACACAAUUUCAUUCCAGUGUUGGUUGUUUAAUCGUUUGGAUGUGUCUCCACGACAACGGCCAUCCAAAGCAACAACAUUUUCGUUUCGUGGAGACAAUGAAAAACAAAACAAUUCGAAUUGAACAUUUUUGAGUUCUUUUGUUUCAAUCUCCAACCGAUCCAAAGUGCACUGGGGUGUGACCGAAAAUAAAACUCAAAUUGGCAAUAAAAAACCGAAGAUUCAUUCAUCAUGGCUCAGGUGGCCACUUUGGAUGAGCGCAUCAACGAAUCUGAGAUGAAAGCCAUGGACGCGAAUCGCUAUGCUACCAAGAAGACAAUUGCCCAGGGAAUGCUGGACAUAGCUCUGCUGACGGCAAACGCUUCUCAACUGAAAUACAUCCUCCAAGUUGGCGAACAGCACCAGUUCUACAAGUUAAUGCUGAUCCUGAUUAGCCUGUCCAUAGUGCUACAGGUUUCAGCUGGAAUACUGCUGGUCGUUCAGUCCCUGAUCAGCAUGCACAAUCCCAAGGAUCGAAGCUUGGGCUUUACGAUUAACCACUUUGUGGAUGCCUUUAUAUUUCUCUCUGUUUUCUGUGAUGUAAUGAAGAUGAACUUUGGCCUAGAUCCCGCCAUUCCCAACAGCAGCGAUGAUGUGGAGCUUUUAAAGCAUUAACUAAGAUAGUGAAUCUUUCUCAAGAGCAUUAAAGUUUAAUCAUUUAAAAUUAAAAUGAAGACCAGUAGCAGCUUCACUAAAAAAAGUUGGCUUUUAAAAAAUAUUGGGGGUCUAGUCGUAUUUUUCUUAUCCUUUAAACAGUAAAGACUUCAUUCAAAUGGUUGACGUAGCCUUAAACUUUUAUUAGUUUAGACUGGUAAAAUAAACAAUAUUUACCAAACAUUAAAAUUCAAGUAGAUAAUGCAAGCUGCGCUAUAGUGCUGCCCAGAAGACUCCAGAUCAGCGCUCUUUGGCAUAAUCUGCUGAUUCCAAGGUUGUGGACUCCGAUUAAAAGGCCCUGAAAUUUUUCGUAUACUUGAUUUCGAUUGAACUAGGGCUUUCCUAAUGGUUAAAAUGCCGCGACACGAUGCUGGAGACAGCUUCCUGAAGCGCGAGAAGAACACCCAGGAGGUGGUGGAGAAUGUGAUCGGCGAGU